UAAGGAAUUAUAUUGUCCAAAUUAUUUUAAUUCUUGUUAGGGCAGCCGCCAAACAAGACUUAUGAGAAAAGCCAAAUAUUUUCUUCUUCCCCUGCAAGUCUCGGUCCCUUCCUCUGUUCUUCAUUUUGAGUUUUUCUCUUUCUAGCCAAGCUCCAAGAAUCACUCCAAAAAUCACACCUAUAUUCAUCCAGAAACGUAUAUUAAGGUUCGAGUGGCAGUGUAGAAUGAACAAGCAAAGACUUUUAUUUCAUUAAGCGUAUCAGGUUAAGCUGUGGUGCAGAUGGAAGCGAGCAGAGCAAAUUCUUUGAUGUAUAUGUAUUAAACCAGGCUCAGGAUUCCAUGUCCUCAUACAUGUAAUCCACAUGAAUUAUUCCGCUGCAACACUUAGUCUAUUCUACCUUAUCGAUGUGUUGUAUAUAUUUUAAAUCAAUAGCUUUGAGAAUUAUGUCACUUGAAAGUUAGACAACUUGUCGUUGUGUAUUGCAAGUUGUUUACUCAUGAGUUUUAAAAGUGAUUGCUUAUGAUUAUCCAAUAUUAAAGUAAUUCAUCGUUAAA